rnacentral:misc_RNA from 1 species
GGGUUUUUUUGACCUGAUCGGAGUUGGACUUUGGGUGUCUUCUGCCAGCUAUAAUGGCUCACCUCAAAAGAGUUAGUGGGAUAAGCGCCCAUGGCUAAGACGUAAUAAGUUUCGUCUGGCUUGGUGUGAUUGCCUGCUCAUAACAAACCAUAUUAUUUGACUCUGACCUCAAAUCAGGUAGGGCUACCCGCUGAACUUAA